rnacentral:rRNA from 1 species
AUUGAACGCUGGCGGCAUGCCUUACACAUGCAAGUCGAACGGCAGCAUGAUCUAGCUUGCUAGAUUGAUGGCGAGUGGCGAACGGGUGAGUAAUACAUCGGAACGUGCCCUGUAGUGGGGGAUAACUAGUCGAAAGAUUAGCUAAUACCGCAUACGACCUGAGGGUGAAAGUGGGGGACCGCAAGGCCUCAUGCUAUGGGAGCGGCCGAUGUCGGAUUAGCUAGUUGGUGAGGUAAAGGCUCACCAAGGCGACGAUCAGUAGCUGGUCUGAGAGGACGAUCAGCCACACUGGGACUGAGACACGGCCCAGACUCCUACGGGAGGCAGCAGUGGGGAAUUUUGGACAAUGGGCGAAAGCCUGAUCCAGCAAUGCCGCGUGUGUGAAGAAGGCCUUCGGGUUGUAAAGCACUUUUGUCCGGAAAGAAAUGGCUCUGGUUAAUACCUGGGGUCGAUGACGGUACCGGAAGAAUAAGGACCGGCUAACUACGUG